GUGCAGCUGAAGGGUUAGCUAAUGAAGACACCCUCAAACCAUCCUUAAGGGAGCUCUAAGUUCCACCGUGGGAGUUCCUCACCACUAGAAAAUGGACCUGGACACAUCCAGGAGAAGAGACAACUUUUGGUGGCGUGCAAACAACCUGCUCACAACCUGCUCAGGUGGUCUGCUGGAGAGUUCUGAACUCCUGGAAGGAAGGGCUGAGUCAUGAUGUCUAUCAAGCACUGAAUGGAGCUACUUUGGAUCUACAAUGGAAGAUCGUGGACUAGACUAUUAAUUUUUCAUGGCUUUUUCCCAAGGGAGGUAGGACGUGUGAAAAUAGUGUGAUUGGAGCUUAAGACAAAGAACUGAGGUGUGAGCAGAGUAUAAUAAGAACCUGCGGUGUCAGGGUAAAGGGGUGAAUGCAGGACAUUUGAGCAAGGCAGACAGUUGUACUGCAAGCAUGCCCAGGCAUGUAAACUUUGCUUUACCAUUCUAAUCUAAUGUACCUAAAUACUGUAUUCCAGUUGACUAAUAAAUGACGCCUUGUUUUGAAAGGGCUGUCCUGUGUUGCUGCAAAUAUCUCCUGGUUGUGUAGCUCCCACAAGAUAAGUCUCAACAGGUAUCUAAACUCUCUGGGACUUGUUUAAGGAGCCCUGGUGAGAAACAGAUGCUGAGGCCAGGGAAUCUGUCUCGGACUA